rnacentral:rRNA from 1 species
UUUAAUUGAAGAGUUUGAUCAUGGCUCAGAUUGAACGCUGGCGGCAGGCCUAACACAUGCAAGUCGAGCGGCAGCGACAUAACUGAACCUUCGGGGAACGUUAAGGGCGGCGAGCGG